GUGCUUGCUUUGGCCACACAUAUACUAAAACUGGAAUGAUGCAGAGAUUAGCAUGGCCCCUGCACAAGGAUGACACUUUUAUUACUUGGAAAAAAAAAAAAAAAA
rnacentral:snRNA from 1 species